UACAGUGUGGCAUAGUGGUCUGGGUGUUGGACUGCAACUCUGGAGUCCAGGGUUUGAUUCCCUGCUCAGCCA